GUAUUCCAGUCUCAGAGGCACAAACAAAUCUUAUUCAACACAAAUAAAACAGAUACAAAAAUUUUUCUUGUCAUCAGCAGAGAGAGAACUGCAUUAACAUUUGAACCAACAUUACUGAUGAUGAAUCAUGAUUUAACAAGGAGCUUAUAGAUGAAAACUCUUUUGCUGCUUCAGCCCAACAUGCAUGGAACAGUUUGUGUAAGUUCCACCCUUUGUUUUUGUUUGUUCUAAAGUGCUCUUAUUGGAAUUAGGGGCAGGCAAUGGAAUAGGAGGUACCAUUUGAGUCAAAGAUCAUUGGAUAAGUUUUACCUUUCUGACUGAGUUUAUCUUGGUGUGUUGAAGCAUGUUCAUCUGAUGGCAAAAGAUGUCCAUCCAACAUGAAAAUCAAGGCUAUUUUGAUUGUCUUGUUGAAUAGCCUUCCAGUGAUCAACAAAAUCGGAAGCUUUUUCGCCUUUUCUUCUGCAUCAUCAUCACAUGGAGAAUAAUCUGCAGAAACUUUUUCAUGGUCUUCCAAAUUGUGAUCAAACUGGCAAUUAUCAUUGAUCACCUUUAUACCAUCAAUGAUUUGGUGGUUGCAAAUCAAAUGAACGUCUCUAUCUUUGACAAGGAAUGAUCCUCUACUCUCCUCAACCUCAGUGUCAGCCAUUGCAGCCGAGAGAAAAGCUUGUCCUGGGAUAGAACUCCAUAUAGGCCUUGUUGGUUCGGAAAGGUGUGAAAUUGAAAGGUGCCCACCAUUGUUUGGGAAGCAAGAAAGCUUGAAAUCAUUGCCAAUUGGGAAGAACAAGUUGUGGUCUGAAGUAGGCACUGUCUUGGCGUUGAUGAAGAGAGAGCCUUUGACAUAAGGAAUGGUGGUUGAAGCAGAAGCAGAAGAAGAAGGGAAAGGGUUAUUGAAAUGCUUCUUGUGCUUCUUUGUUAUCUUAAGGAUUGCCAUCUAAAUAUCCUAAUAAAUAAACACAGCAAAAAAGAAAGAAUGCAAAAGAGAAUGAUUUCUUCUUUAUUUUUCUUUCCAAUUCCAAAGUGUGAAACGGAUUCUGAUAGUUUUAAAUGGAUUCUUGAAUAUGUUAUAUGGUUUAGAAGAUGGAAAAGUCUUUUCUAAAUGGCGUGUGUUUUGUAUAAAACGGUCAUGGGCAUAAAGCUUUAUGACUUUGGUUGUCUUUUAUUAGGUACAGACAGAACACAUCAAGCAACCAAAGUUGAUUUGGUAUCA